rnacentral:lncRNA from 1 species
UUUCAUCAUCCAUUACUUCUAACAGGAAGACCCCUGACAAUCCAAUAUCUGAAAAGGAUUCGUAAUUCUUAUUACUCAAAUGUUAUUUUUCUUAGGAAGACCAAGAAUAAGAAAAGUAAUCUAUUGUUGACCUAUAGGGUUUGGCUACGGAUCUAGCUUUUGGCAUGGAUUGAUGGUAUUCUUAUCUCUAUUACUUUUAUUCGUGAUCCCAUUUUGUGUUGUAAAAUCUCUAGCCCUAGUAUGGGUGUCUGGAACUUUGUUUCUUGUUAUGGUAGUUUUAUUUAUAAGAUUAAAAGCUCUCAGUUCCAGUAUUUGACCGAGCAUUACAACAAUAUUAACUCUUCUUUUGUUUUUAUGAGUGAUUUUAAUUUUAUUUUGAUGGGUGGAUUACCUUUUACCAUACAAGCAUGAGAGUACUUUUGAGUUUGCUUAAUGAUCUAGGCCUGAUUGAUUUAAGAUUUACUGGCCCUCCCUUUACGUGCGAUAAAAGAUGAAAUGGGUGAAUUAUCUCAGGCUAUUUUAUAGAAUUUUAACUUUUAAUCAAUGGAGUUUUGAUCAUUAGAAUGCUUUUGUACUCACCUAGAAGAUGUUAGUUUUGGUCAUAGACUAAUCCUCCUAAACUUCACAUUCUAAUUCUAAGCACUUCUUUCGAUGUGAUAAGAGAUGGUGUAAUAAUUUGAAAGUCAAGGAGAUUAUAUGUCUUUCUCUUGAAAUAAAGAGUACUCUGGAUUUGAUAUGUUCAAGUUUUAUGCUAAGCGUAAGGAUUACUGACAUGAACCGAUUAAAUGGAGGAGAAACUUGAAAUAUGUAGGAUCAACAUAGAAGUAAUCUCUAAAGAACUUAACAGGGUUAAGGUGUCUUCUAAUAGGGUAGAUACUCAUAAGAUCAUAUUAUAUAGAGAGUCAACUUCAGAAGGAAUUUGCUAAGGAGGAAUUUUUUAGGUCAAAAAUCUAAACAAGACUAGCUUGCUUUAGGAGAUAAUAACGUAACCCUUUUACGUACCAAAACAAUUCAAAGAAGGGCUAAGAACAAUAUCUAGGGGUUAGAAGAUGAAGAUAGUUGCUGGUUCUCGAAUCAAAAGCAUAUCAUUAAGAUAGCUAUUAGCUAUUUUACUAAGUUUUAUACUUUUAGCGAUACUCAAAAGUUGGAUUUUGCUUUUACAGGUCUGAAUCCAAAGAUCACUACAUAUAUGAAUGAGGCUCUUAUUUAGAAUGUCACUUCUGAUGAAAUCAAAGCUGCUCUAUUCUCUUUAUCUCUACCAGUAACAAUCAUUCUCAUAGUGGGAGUAUUGGCCUUGUGGCCUCUAACCUUCAAGGUCAAGUGGUCAAUCAAUGGAGCAGUUGUUCUAUUACCACUCUUCUUAUCUUGGAAACCUUAGCUCUAUGAGAUGGUAUGCCUUAGGCUGUUAGCAGAGGGUGGGAGAAUGUUUGUUUCGUUGACAUAGCUUGGAAAGUGCAGGUCCCUUCUUAUGAUAUAAUAAAUAUCUUUCGAUGUACUGACUAUGUCCUUUAUUUCCAUUGGCUAUGUGUUUAUAAGUAAGAAACUUUAAUUUCUUAGCUCA